CUACCACAACAAGAGGACAUAGUCUUAAAUUAGAGGGACAAAGGUUUAAAAAUAAUAUCAGGAAGUAUUACUUUACUGAGAGGGUAGUGGAUGCAUGGAAUAGCCUUCCAGCUGAAGUGGUAGAGGUUAACACAGUAACGGAGUUUAAGCAUGCGUGGGAUAGGCAUAAGGCUAUCCUAACUAUAAGAUAAGGCUAUGGAC